UACGUAGGGUGCAAGCGUUGUCCGGAAUUAUUGGGCGUAAAGAGCUCGUAGGCGGUUUUGUCGCGUCUGCUGUGAAAACCGGAGGCUCAACCUCCGGCCUGCAGUGGGUACGGGCAAACUAGAGUGCGGUAGGGGAGAUUGGAAUUCCUGGUGUAGCGGUGGAAUGCGCAGAUAUCAGGAGGAACACCGAUGGCGAAGGCAGAUCUCUGGGCCGUAACUGACGCUGAGGAGCGAAAGCGUGGGGAGCGAACAGG
rnacentral:rRNA from 1 species